rnacentral:rRNA from 1 species
GGCUGCGCGAAAGGAUACGGAGUCUGGCCUGCCCACUGGAAAUGUCUCAACGGCCGCGGUAAUUUGACCGUGCGAAGGUAGCAUAAUCAAUAGUCUUUUAAUUAAAGGCUGGAAUGAAUGGUCGGACAAGAAGACGGCUGUCUCCACCUCAGAUCCUGAAUUUUACUUUUGAGUGAAAAGGCUUAAAUUGGUUAGAGGGACGAUAAGACCCUUUAAAACUUUACACAAAAAUAAAUCUUUCCGAAUGAGUAGUUUAAAAAAGACCUUGUUAGUUUGUUAUGUUGGGGAGACACAAAUAUAAUAUAAAUUUGAUAACUGUUUUAAAAGGUUAAUAAUUUUAAUUAGUUUACUGAACCGGUAUUGCCGAUUAGAAGAACAAGUUACUUUAGGGAUAACAGCGUAAUUAUUUUUGAGAGUCCUUAUCGACAAAAUGAGUUGCGACCUCGAUGUUGAAUUAAAGCUCCCUUCUUGUGCAGAAGUAAAAACGGUAGGUCUGUUCGACCUUUAAAGCUUU